GUUUGCUAGCCUGACCUUCAAGGAGAGGCAUCCCUGUAGGAUUUUGAUCUUCUUUGCAAUUAUCUUAAAAGGAUGCCCACUCUUUGUGACCCAAUUUAUAAUGGAAUGCCUCCAAAAACAGAAUGCAUAAAGUCCAAGCCUCAGCAUGACAAAGGGAGAGGUUGGGAGGGAGACCCAGGCACCGCACACAAGGAUCCCAAUUCACCAGGGACCUCCGAAGCUGGCAACGCCUGCCUGGGGUUCUGGAGCUCGGAUAUUUUGCUGUAACAACAGGCUGACUGAAACCCAGCUUUGUGAAGACCCAUGGAUGCUUCUGAGUCCCAAAUGAAUGCUCACCUCAUCCUAACUGGAAUUAGCAACUCACAGCUGCCCUGGUCAUCAUGUGUUUGGGUGGUGUGGUGAGGAGGUCCGCCCAUUCUCGGCCCCAGGCUGCCCCAGAUUCUGUGUGGACUGCCGCCCGGCCCUCAUCACACAGGGUGCUCUCAGGUUGUGACCUCUCAGCAGGACUUUCUCGGGUGACAGGCAUCUCACUCAAUUGUACUAAGAAGUAUGACUCACCAUGGUUAGAACUAUUUUGUCUUUCAAUAAUCAUUUUUAGUGACUGCAUAGUAGUCCAACAAAUAAAAAUUUCAAAUAACGUGCCUUUAAGUUAUUCCUGUAUAUUUUUAGAUGAUCUUUUUAAAAUUAGUUUAAUUGGAG
rnacentral:lncRNA from 1 species